GUGCUUUCACAAUAAGAAUACCAUUGUUUACACACAGUUGGCGAUACUUUUCGGAAAUCAAAGGAACCCGUUAUAAAAUAAAUAUUUUGUUUUGAAUAUCAGACAGGAUACUCUUCAACUAUAAACAACCAUAUCGUUCGUUUGAUUGAUCAGAUGUGUAUGUUUGAUAUGUUUGAUUGAUAUGUAUGAUUCUACGGCAAAAACUGCUCAACUUCGCAAGCCAAGAGCGCGUGGAGUCCUUGCAAGUGAAAUAUGAUCCAGCUUCUCGCUUGAAAUGUACCGCAACGUAUUCA